UUUUUUUUUUUUUUAACAUGCCUCAGCCCUCUUGCUUUGCUUUGUGACAUAGGUAGUUGUUCAACAUUUGUGACGGACAUGUUUUCUCGACAAUCCAUGGCUACUCUUUGGAUGUGUUUGUGGUGGACAUAUGGUGUUGAGUGAUAGUCAGAACUGACUCUAGUUGGAUGAAGGCAUGACUUGACUAAGAAAUUUAAACUCAAUGGCUGAACCAUCCACUUUUGAAGGAAAUUCAAAUGUUGAAAGGAUAAGUGCUUUGGCAUGGCUUUAUCUUUGACCAGACUACCAAAGAGCAUGAAGACAAUUAGAGUGGAUCUCACGCACACAUACAGGAGGGCCCCGUAAAAAAUCAAGGGUGGGCAUAAAGUGUUUUUAACAAGUCCAACCAGUGAGUUAUGGUCCACACAUUGGAUUACUUUCAACAUAUUAAUCUAAUGCAACAUCCCACCCUUCCAAAUAGGUUCGCCCCACAACAAGGAUAACCUAUUGAAAAAUCUGCCCCAUCUAAUCAUGGAGUUGGCCAGACCAUCAAAAACAACUUUUACUACUGAUAAAUAGCAAGAUACAAGUGAGGUCCAAUAAAUUUGUAAAUGCCACUGAUUUUCGCAUGAAGAAUCAUAUGGUGAUUACA